UGGGGAAUAUUGCACAAUGGGCGGAAGCCUGAUGCAGCGACGCCGCGUGGGGGUUGAAGGCCUUGGGGUUGUAAACUCCUUUCGACAGGGACGAAGCUUUUGUGACGGUACCUGUAUAAGAAGAACCGGCGAACCACGUGCCAGCAGCCGCGGUAAUACGUAGGGUGCAAGCGUUGUCCGGAAUUACUGGUCGUAAAGAGCACGUAGGUGGUUUGUCGAGUCGUCUGUGAGAUUCCGGGGCUUAACUCCGGGCGUGCAGGCGAUACGUGCUGACUUGCGUGCUGUAGGGCAGACUGGAAUUCCUGGUGUCGCGGUGACAUGCGCAGAUAUCAGGAGGAACACCGAUGGCGAACGCAGGUCUCUGGGCAGUAACUGACGCUAAGGAGCGAAAGCAUGGGUAGCGAACUGG
rnacentral:rRNA from 1 species